ensembl:lncRNA
AUGAGCUGCACCCCAGCCUCUGAGGGGAGCUCCGUUCCCUGCAUCCGGGGUGAAGGGGGGCGCCAGGCACGGGGCGGGGGUGGGGCCCUGGGAAGCAGGUGGGAAGGUGAUCGACAGGCAGAGGCCCCCGUCCUUCCUGCUUGCAGACAUCGGCGAUUUGAAAUGGAGUCACUCAGCCCUUUGCAUCGACGAGGUGACAGAAGGGACAAAGGAAGUUCCCACACUUCACUUUGCAUAAUGUGGUGUCUUGUUUUUUCUGUGGGACGUGCAUACAGCUGCUCUGCCUCUUCGGGACCCACAUACCUGACUCAUGUACAUUUGUCUCCUGUUGCUUUUAUCCCGUUCUGUUUUAGCUGACUUGUUCGCAGUGCUAAAUACAAGUGUUACUUUACUCCUGUUUGAUAUCAUCUUUAAAGAGUCAAAUUUUCAUUCAUUCUUCUUGGUGGAAAACAUCAGCCCAAAGUGGAAGCUGAACCAUAAAACGUUUCCCUUUUCACACCAUGGGUUCUCUUGCUGCAGCUGUGGCAGAACAGCCUGAAAGAACAUAUGCCACGUGCCCUGGGGCUGCAGCUGGGCAGGGCGACACAGGUGUGGGCCCAGAUCAAAGCUUCCUGCCCUCAAAGCGUCCCAGUGUCUUUUGAACACCUCUGUUUGCGAUGAGCCGGUUACAGCUGAUUUCAACUACACCCCCGCCGAGGAACGCGAGGGACGCCGAAAUGGUCAGUGUUGGCCUGACGACUGCUCUCAGAGGGAGAACCCGGGAGCGACACGUCCUCACCACCCGGUCCCAUGGCCCAGAGCUUUUAUUCAUACACGAAGCCGAGCUGGUGUGAACAGCGGUGGCGAGCAGCCCUGGGGUCUCCUGAUCUCUCGGCUGGAGUUAGACCUUCCCCCCAACAACGGCACUGUGGCUCCCGGCUCUGGGCCACGCUUCUGCCUUCCCAGAGGCCGACUGCCUCCCGCAGCCACGAGCCAGACGUCCCUCACCCCCAGCCUUCUGCAGCCUGGGAAGAAGUCUUGAGGGUCAAACUGAGCAGUCACCGCUGUUGAUGCAUGCUGCCGAGUGGCAGCUGCAGUAGCAGACAAGGUAAGAUUCCCGUGAAAGUCCCCCGGGCUCCGCGGUCAGCAAUAACCUCACGAGGAGACAGACAAGGUGGCGGCUGGGCGCAGAGGCCACACACCUGGAAGGCCUCGUAGUCACCAAAGGGCCCCUGGAAGGGUAUCCACCUCCCCGGGCGGGGGUGCGUGGAGACCAGCCAGCCUGGAGCCCCUUUCACAGGUACGUCCCGUCCACCAGAGUCCAGGGGAAUCUACCUGGGCUUUAGCUCAGGACACGUCAAGGAACAGCUAUGGGAAACAAUGGCCAGUGGCCUCCACGGGAUGAACGCCCUCUGAAGAGACAGAACAAGCAGGCGGGAGGGUCCAGCUUUCUGAGCGACACUGUAGCUUCUCGGAAGCACCAGCUCAGGCAGAUGGCCAAGGAUGUGGGGCGGGGGGGGCCUUGCCCUCGGGGCAGCCAGCCUGUCCAGGAGCUCACACAGCUUGUCCUGAGGGCCAGGCAGCAUUCUCGGCGACGGUGAGCCCCGUAAAUCUGCUGACUGAGUCCCUCAAGACACAGCUCAGUGUGAAACACUUUAAGCACCAGGAGCCCCACAUCGGCCUCUCAAGGAAGCUUCCAAAUGUCCAUAAGCCUAAGGGAUGCCUGAAAUAAAGACUGGAGGCCAGAGGCCA